rnacentral:rRNA from 1 species
GACGAACGCUGGCGGCGUGCUUAACACAUGCAAGUCGUACGGUAAGGCCCUUUCGGGGGUACACGAGUGGCGAACGGGUGAGUAACACGUGAGUAACCUGCCCACAACUUUGGGAUAACGCUAGGAAACUGGUGCUAAUACUGGAUAUGUGCUCCUGCUGCAUGGUGGGGGUUGGAAAGCUCCGGCGGUUGUGGAUGGACUCGCGGCCUGUCAGCUUGUUGGUGGGGUAGUGGCCUACCAAGGCGGCGACGGGUAGCCGGCCUGAGAGGGUGACCGGCCACAUUGGGACUGAGAUACGGCCCAGACUCCUACGGGAGGCAGCAGUGGGGAAUAUUGCACAAUGGGCGCAAGCCUGAUGCAGCAACGCCGCGUGCGGGAUGACGGCCUUCGGGUUGUAAACCGCUUUCAGCAGGGACGAAGCUUUUUGUGACGGUACCUGCAGAAGAAGCACCGGCUAACUACAUG